GGUCUUUCUAACAGAGGCCAUCUCAGCGUCCAUUAGAUAUCCCCUGCUGGAAACAGUCACCUCCAGGCCCCAGUAGAGACUACAAUUGAGGGCUAAUGGGCCAUGGAGGGGAUUUCCAGCAGAGGCUAGAGUCUAAUGGGGCCUGGAGGGUGGUCUCUCCAACACUCUGGUUCCUAUUCACAAUAUAGCAACACAACAUAGCUCGCUGAUACCUAGGCCAAG